GGGCUCAUAGCUCAGCUGGAUAGAGCGUCGGUCUACGGAACCGAAGGUCAGGGGUUCGAAUCCCUUUGAGCCCG
rnacentral:tRNA from 1 species